rnacentral:rRNA from 1 species
GAUCCUGGCUCAGGACGAACGCUGGCGGCGUGCUUAACACAUGCAAGUCGUACGGUAAGGCCCCUUCGGGGGUACACGAGUGGCGAACGGGUGAGUAACACGUGGGUAAUCUGCCCUGCACUUCGGGAUAAGCCUGGGAAACUGGGUCUAAUACCGGAUAUGAGCUCUCACCGCAUGGUGGGGGUUGGAAAGUUUUUCGGUGCAGGAUGUGCCCUCGGCCUAUCAGCUUGUUGGUGGGGUAAUGGCCCACCAAGGCGACGACGGGUAGCCGGCCUGAGAGGGUGAUCGGCCACACUGGGACUGAGACACGGCCCAGACUCCUACGGGAGGCAGCAGUGGGGAAUAUUGCACAAUGGGCGAAAGCCUGAUGCAGCGACGCCGCGUGGGGGAUGACGGUCUUCGGAUUGUAAACCCCUUUCAGUAGGGACGAAGC